rnacentral:rRNA from 2 species
UGGAUCCAGACUUUGAUCCUGGCUCAGGAUGAACGCUAGCUACAGGCUUAACACAUGCAAGUCGAGGGGCAGCGAUGAAGAAAGCUUGCUUUCUUCAGGCGGCGACCGGCGCACGGGUGAGUAACGCGUAUCGAACCUGCCUCAUACUCAGGAAUAGCCUUGCGAAAGUAAGAUUAAUGCCCGAUGUUAUUAGGAUAUCACAUGAUGUUUUAAUUAAAGAUUUAUCGGUAUGAGAUGGCGAUGCGUCCCAUUAGUUUGUUGGCGGGGUAACGGCCCACCAAGACAUCGAUGGGUAGGGGUUCUGAGAGGAAGGUCCCCCACAUUGGAACUGAGACACGGUCCAAACUCCUACGGGAGGCAGCAGUGAGGAAUAUUGGUCAAUGGACGCAAGUCUGAACCAGCCAAGUAGCGUGCAGGAAGACGGCCCUCUGGGUUGUAAACUGCUUUUAGUUGGGAAUAAAGUGCAUCACGUGUGAUGUUUUGUAUGUACCAUCAGAAAAAGGACCGGCUAAUUCCGUGCCAGCAGCCACGGUAAUACGGAAGGUUCAGGCGUUAUCCGGAUUUAUUGGGUUUAAAGGGAGCGCAGGCGGACCUUUAAGUCAGCUGUGAAAUACGGCGGCUCAACCGUCGAACUGCAGUUGAUACUGGAGGUCUUGAGUGCACACAGGGAUACUGGAAUUCAUGGUGUAGCGGUGAAAUGCUCAGAUAUCAUGAAGAACUCCGAUCGCGAAGGCAGGUAUCCGGGGUGCAACUGACGCUGAGGCUCGAAAGUGCGGGUAUCAAACAGGAUUAGAUACCCUGGUAGUCCGCACAGUAAACGAUGAAUACUCGCGAUUUGCGAUACACAGUAAGUCGCCAAGCGAAAGCGAUAAGUAUUCCACCUGGGGAGUACGCCGGCAACGGUGCAA